rnacentral:rRNA from 1 species
UACGUAGGGCGCAAGCGUUAUCCGGAAUUAUUGGGCGUAAAGAGCUCGUAGGCGGUUUGUCGCGUCUGCUGUGAAAGACCGGGGCUCAACUCCGGUUCUGCAGUGGGUACGGGCAGACUAGAGUGCAGUAGGGGAGACUGGAAUUCCUGGUGUAGCGGUGAAAUGACGCAGAUAUCAGGAGGAACAGCCGAUGGCGAAGGCAGG